AGUGGCGGACGGGUGAGUAAUGCGUAGGUAUCUAUCCUUGGGUGGGGGACAACCGCGGGAAACUGCGGCUAAUACCGCAUGACGACUUUGAUCGAGAGAUUGGGGUCUAAAGGCCGAGAGGUCGCCUGGGGAGGAGCCUGCGUCCGAUUAGCUAGUUGGUGGGGUAAGAGCUUACCAAGGCGAUGAUCGGUAGCUGGUCUGAGAGGAUGAUCAGCCACACUGGGACUGAGACACGGCCCAGACUCCUACGGGAGGCAGCAGUGGGGAAUAUUGGACAAUGGGCGCAAGCCUGAUCCAGCAAUGCCGCGUGGGUGAAGAAGGUCUUCGGAUUGUAAAGCCCUUUCGGCGGGGACGAUGAUGACGGUACCCGCAGAGGAAGCCCCGGCUAACUUCGUGCCAGCAGCCGCGGUAAUACGAAGGGGGCUAGCGUUGCUCGGAAUGACUGGGCGUAAAGGGCGCGUAGGCGGUUUGAACAGUUGGGCGUGAAAUUCCAGGGCUUAACCUGGGGGCUGCGUUCAA
rnacentral:rRNA from 1 species